AGAAAGUUGCUGAGGGCACCACGAUCCUCACAACUUGGGGAACCCCUGGUCUCUCCCAUUCAAUGUCAUCCCCAGCUAGAAUAAGUGCGUCGCGUUGCGUAUCGUACUCGUCGUCGUCGUCGUCGACGCGUCUUCAUAGUGGCCCAACAGACCAAACCAACACAACACCGUGCGUGCUGAGGGUAGAAGGAACACGCACAUUGUAGGAAGCCUUCGGGACCCGCACCGUUGUCUUCGUCGUCGUCAUAAGAACAUAGUCGUCAGUAACAGUGCGCCACUAUCGUCUGUUCCCUAUCCAAAGCCGAGAAGGUAGCGAGAGGUAAACUACGACGUCGUCGUCGCCCGGGUGUUUUUUUUCUUAUGUUGUUUCGUGUUCGUUGUAACUUUACCUUUUAGCCAAGUUUAUUGUGCUUUGAUUACACCGAGUUGAUUUAGUCUGUCAUAAGACGUUGAUGAAUCGAGAUCGGUACGCGAGCUGCGCUGUUUGCUGUUAGGAGAGUGUCGUGUCGUGGAUUCGAGUCCGUGUGGUGAGAGCGCAGAAGAUCGCGAGCCGAGCAUCAAUCGAAUCGAAGUGAGUGGAAAUAUUACGCGACCGCGCGGUUCGGGUUUUUCGUAUUCGUCGUGAGUGACAACACAAGCGAAGUGAUCACUCUUUCUCUCGGGUGGGUCGGAUCGCGUCUUCCUUCAGUCGGUGAUCAAUCUCGCGACGGCACUAUUUUGGAAUAUAAAAAUCAGCGCGUGAUUCAGUAACUAACGUCACCACCAACACCUCAAGAAGUGAACCAAAAUUCUGUGAAAAAUAUACCAAAGAAGAAACAAACCAACCAACUUUACAGUGAAGUGAACCGUAUGUCAAGUGAUAAAAGUGUAACUGUGCGACGGAAUUUCCCCAACUAGUGCACAGAGAGUGAAGCAGCAAAAAAACUACAACGUAAACCAAACAAG